ACGCUGGCGGCGCGCCUAACACAUGCAAGUCGAACGGAGCUGAGAGGAGCUUGUCUUUUCUUAGCUUAGUGGCGAACGGGUGAGUAACGCGUGAGUAACCUGCCCUGGAGUGGGGGACAACAGUUGGAAACGACUGCUAAUACCGCAUAAAGUAUUCGGAUGGCAUCAUCUGAAUACCAAAGAUUUAUCGCUGAAGGAUGGGCUCACGUCUGAUUAGCUAGUUGGUAGGGCAACGGCCUACCAAGGCUUCGAUCAGUAGCCGGACUGAGAGGUUGGCCGGCCACAUUGGGACUGAGAUACGGCCCAGACUCCUACGGGAGGCAGCAGUGGGGAAUAUUGGGCAAUGGAGGAAACUCUGACCCAGCGACGCCGCGUGCGGGAUGAAGGCCUUCGGGUUGUAAACCGCUUUCAGUAGGGAAGAAGCGAAAGUGACGGUACCUACAGAAGAAGCACCGGCUAACUAUGUG
rnacentral:rRNA from 1 species